GUCCUACGGGGGGCUGCAGUGGGGAAUAUUGGACAAUGGGCGCAAGCCUGAUCCAGCCAUGCCGCGUGAGUGAUGAAGGCCCUAGGGUUGUAAAGCUCUUUUGUGCGGGAAGAUAAUGACGGUACCGCAAGAAUAAGCCCCGGCUAACUUCGUGCCAGCAGCCGCGGUAAUACGAAGGGGGCUAGCGUUGCUCGGAAUCACUGGGCGUAAAGGGUGCGUAGGCGGGUCUUUAAGUCAGAGGUGAAAGCCUGGAGCUCAACUCCAGAACUGCCUUUGAUACUGAGGAUCUUGAGUUCGGGAGAGGUGAGUGGAACUGCGAGUGUAGAGGUGAAAUUCGUAGAUAUUCGCAAGAACACCAGUGGCGAAGGCGGCUCACUGGCCCGAUACUGACGCUGAGGCACGAAAGCGUGGGGAGCAAACAGGAUUAGAUACCCGUGUAGUC
rnacentral:rRNA from 1 species